CUAUUGUUGGCUUGGCUGCCACAAGUUGCUUAUUUGCAAAUUUGAGUAUUACUAUCAAUACAGUUUGCAUUAUGCUAAGUCCAGCAAACAAGGGCCAAAUAUAUUAUGAAGUUCCAAGCCAGUUACUUUUACGAGAAGCUUGGAGGGUGAUGAUACAAAAAUGUCCUUGAAAUUUCUUACUUUUUAAGAUGGUGAUAUUGUGAUGUUUAUCACUUAGAUCUCUGGUUAUCACUUAGAACAGAUUAACUGUAAUUUGAAGUCUGUGUGAAGUUGUGAGAAGUUGAAGAUUCUUAAGAGACCCCACUAAGGGUCUAAUAAGGUUCAUUAUACACAUCACUGCUGAGUUUAAUACUCUAAACUUUUUAAUUUAAUAUUUUA